AGGGUUCAAAUUUAACAGACCCUGCAUAAAAACUGAAAAGAGUCUGCAACCAGGUUCAUUAACUAGCUGAAUACCCUUAAAGGCGUAUGCGUUUAUGCUUGGUUUUACCAUCCUACAACCAUUCUGGGUGAAUUAUCCAUCUCUAUUAAAAGUUGGUCCUAUAUAUAUGGGCUAUGGAUGUUUUAUAUCCAUGAAGGCCUUUGUUCCUUCCUUUUUUUGGCUUUGUGGACCACGAAUUUAAGUGCUUUGUAGUCUGUUGAUGCAAGUGUCCAAGAGCAGUUUUGUCCGCUGUCUAAUUAAUUUAAUGAUGGUAACUACUCGUAUAAUAAGAUAUACCCCUGAUGAAGUCUCGGGAUCAGACAAAACGUGUGGUGUUAUCUGUUUAUGUGACAUGACCUCCAAACCACAAUAAUAGAAGGAGAAGAUCGUAAUGAAACAUCUGUACAUUGAUUCUCACUGUUACCUCCAAGUAGUGUCAUUAUUGGGAGGAAGUUGUAAUAAUUAUUUUGUAUGAUUAUAUACGUACAUUUAUGUUGCCUUUUAUGGAUUUUAAAGAAAUUGCUUUGGAAGAACGCACUGAUUGUUUAUGUUAAGAUUUCACUCCACCAUUGUGUAAAACUAUCUGUGGAAUUAAAUAACUACUGCGAGUUGAUACAACCCCAAGGCGCCAAUUCCACUAUGGUUAUACAUAUUCCAUUACAUUUAGUUCUUUCUAACAGGGAACUUAGUGGAAUAAGGCAGCCUGGUAAAUGUCACACUAAAUCUAUAUAUAUUUAAAUUAGCACAGGAGGAGAGUUUGUGUUUGUGUGUAUAUAAUAGAAUUUUAAUUACCUACCGAUAAAUCCUUUUCUCGUAGUCCAUAGAGGAUGCUGGGGUCCAUUUUAGUACCAUGGGGUAUA